UACGGUAGGGGGCAAGCGUUGUCCGGAAUCACUGGGCGUAAAAGGGCGCGUAGGCGGAUCUUUAAGUCGGGGGUGAAAAGCCCAGGGCUCAACCCUGGAAUUGCCUUCGAUACUGAAGAUCUUGAGACCGGAAGAGGUUAGUGGAACUGCGAGUGUAGAGGUGAAAUUCGUAGAUAUUCGCAAGAACACCAGUGGCGAAGGCGGCUAACUGGUCCGGUUCUGACGCUGAGGUGCGAAAGCGUGGGGAGCAAACAGG
rnacentral:rRNA from 1 species